GAGCCACUGAAACAUUCGCCAGUUGAGAAUACACCUGAGCCGAUAAUCACACUUACAGGGUAAUGACUGUUUGCUGUGGUGUGUAUGCCCGCAUCAUCUGAUGUAUCGGGAAACCUAAAACAGCAAAGAUUUACCCGCCUUGAACUACUUGGUUCAUGGGCAACACUUGACAGCGGUGUUUCGGUUUUUUA
rfam:Moraxella lacunata strain CCTG 57757A contig_94, whole genome shotgun sequence.